GGUUGAUCCUGCCAGUAGUCAUAUGCUUGUCUCAAAGAUUAAGCCAUGCAUGUCUAAGUAUAAGCAUUUAUACAGUGAAACUGCGAAUGGCUCAUUAAAUCAGUUAUCGUUUAUUUGAUAGUACAUUACUACUUGGAUAACCGUGGUAAUUCUAGAGCUAAUACAUGCAUAAAGUCCCAUUGGGAUGUAUUUAUUAGAUAAAAAACCAAUGCCAUCUCGGCUUAUUGGUGAUUCAUAAUAACUUGUCGAAUCGCAUGGCCUUGCGCCGGCGAUGGUUCAUUCAAAUUUCUGC
rnacentral:rRNA from 1 species